rnacentral:lncRNA from 1 species
UCUCCACACUUCUAAACACUUUUCAUGCAUCUCUAGCACUUGUAAUCAAUCAUAUUUAUUGUAUUCUAAUAUGUACUAACCCUAAACAACACUAGACAAACCAUUAACAGCUCAAAAGACAUGUUUAUGGAUUCUUAGCCCAUUUGGGACCAAAUUUCAACAAGUCUUUUUACACACUUCUAAACACUCUUCAUACAUAUCUAUCACCUGUAAUCAAUUGAAUUUAUUGUAUUCUAACAUAUUCUAACCCCAAACAACACUACACAAGCCAUUU